GGACUACUGGGGUAUCUAAUCCUGUUCGCUACCCACGCUUUCGCUUCUCAGCGUCAGUUACUUCCCAGAGACCCGCCUUCGCCACCGGUGUUCCUCCUGAUAUCUGCGCAUUUCACCGCUACACCAGGAAUUCCAGUCUCCCCUGAAGUACUCUAGUCUGCCCGUAUCGACUGCAGGCUUGCAGUUGAGCUGCAAGAUUUCACAAUCGACGCGACAAACCGCCUACAAGCUCUUUACGCCCAGUAAUUCCGGACAACGCUCGCACCCUACGUAUUACCGCGGCUGCUGGCAC
rnacentral:rRNA from 1 species